rnacentral:rRNA from 1 species
AUUGAACGCUGGCGGCAUGCUUUACACAUGCAAGUCGAACGAGUGGCGGACGGGUGAGUAAUAUAUCGGAACGUGCCCUGUAGCGGGGGAUAACUACUCGAAAGAGUGGCUAAUACCGCAUACUUUUGGAGCGGCCGUUAUCGGAUUAGCUAGUUGGUAGGGUAAAGGCUCACCAAGGCAACGAUCCAUAGCUGGUUUGAGAGGACGACCAGCCACACUGGGACUGAGACACGGCCCAGACUCCUACGGGAGGCAGCAGUGGGGAAUUUUGGACAAUGGGGGAAACCCUGAUCCAGCCAUGCCGCGUGUAUGAGAAGGCCUUCGGGUUGUAAAGUACUUUUGGCAGAGAGGCGGUAUCUGCAGAAUAAGCACCGGCUAACUACGUGCCAGCAGCCGCGGUAAUAC